rnacentral:rRNA from 1 species
GACGAACGCUGGCGGCGUGCUUAACACAUGCAAGUCGAACGGUAAGGCCCUUCGGGGUACACGAGUGGCGAACGGGUGAGUAACACGUGGGUGAUCUGCCCUGCACUUCGGGAUAAGCCUGGGAAACUGGGUCUAAUACCGGAUAGGACCACUGCCUGCAUGGGUGGUGGUGGAAAGCUUUUGCGGUGUGGGAUGGGCCCGCGGCCUAUCAGCUUGUUGGUGGGGUGAUGGCCUACCAAGGCGACGACGGGUAGCCGGCCUGAGAGGGUGACCGGCCACACUGGGACUGGGAUACGGCCCAGACUCCUACGGGAGGCAGCAGUGGGGAAUAUUGCACAAUGGGCGCAAGCCUGAUGCAGCGACGCCGCGUGAGGGAUGACGGCCUUCGGGUUGUAAACCUCUUUCAGCACCGACGAAGCGCAAGUGACGGUAGGUGCAGAAGAAGGACCGGCCAACUACGUGCCAGCAGCAGCCGCUGUAA